AUCACGACUUCGAGAGGAGUGGCUCUGUCAUGUGGCAGUUAAGGGGAGGGGGGUAGGGGGAGACUAAGAACAGCAGUGACCCCCCACGGCGGUGUGUCAAGAGAGAGGCAAAGUGGAUCCAAUGGGAAGUUGAACGCCACAAACAUUCCCGACCACUUGAGGAAGCCGCAAUGGGACGGUGAACGAACGUAAAAGCAGGUUAUAUGAUGGACUAUGGAGAGCCACAUCGACUUUGGAGCUGGUAUGGAAUCCCUAAUACUGACGCUUCCUCAGCAGCCCCAGACCCAGAGAGGACAGCGCGCGUGGGGGACGCCAGUGUCGAGGACUCGCUCAGAUGCGCGACAGCUCGGAGGCUUGUUCAUGGCACUGCUCCUGGGAGAGGAAAAUUUAGACACAGACACCCAGGAGGAAUACCGUGUGACUCCUGAGGCAGAGAUUGGAGUUAUUCUGCCUCAAGCCAAGGAAUGCCAAGACUGGUGGCAACCAGCAGAAGCUGGGAGAAGAUACGGAACACAUGCUCCCUCUGAGCCCCUAAGAAAGAAUUCACCUUACCUACACUUUGAUUUUAGACUUUCGGGCAAAAGAACUGUGAGUGAACCAAUUCCUGUCAUUUUAAGCCACGAAAAUGUGGCAAUUUGUUACAGCAGCUCUAGCAAACUGGUACAUCAGUAUGUAUGUGAUACAUAUUCUAAAGGGUAGUUUUAAAAUUUGCCUGAAAAUAGCUGAAAUGAAAAAGAUGAAAAAUAUCAACAUCUCAUUAAGCUAAGGGCUGAGGUACCCUUCCUUGCUUAUCAGUGACAAGAUUAUAUUGAGAAAGUACGCAUUUAUUCUGCUUCAUCUGACGCUCCUCCCUAGUGUUCUCUCUUCCUUUUGAUUUUGGUGGCACAACUCUCUCCACUUUCCCCCACUUCCCUGACUUCCCUCGCUGUCACCUCCUUGGGCUUCUUGUUUCCACUUGUCCCUCAGAUGUUGGUGUGACCCAGGGCUCCAACCUUGACAUUCUCUAAACCCACGGUCUCCCAAACGAACACAUCCAUGCUCCUGAUUUCAAUGAUCACUUGUGCACUGAUAACCCUAGAGUCUUCCUUUCUGUUGCAAUUAUAGCAUCUAAACUCUAGACCAACUUAUUUGUGCAUCAAAAUCAGUAUAUCCAAGUUGAAACUCUUUACUUUUCUCCAUUUGAUUUUCUUAUAUUAAGUGAGUGGGUCAACCUUUAAUGUAGAAACCAAAUCAAAAAACUUGGGAAUGAUUAUUGAUCUAUCCUCCCUCAUCCUCCAUCUUUUAACAGAGAGUCUCAUAUAUGUAUUAUUGGGGAAGAAUGAGUGGAACGUACGCUUAUGCUAUCCAACUUCUCAAAGGAAAAAUAGUUCUAUAACUGUCAUUAUAGGUGUAAGUAUAGCUAUAUGAAAUCAGCUAUGUAAAUUGUGAAAUCUGGUUAUGAUUCUAUUCAGCUACUAUACAUUAGUUACAUAUUUGGCAGUAUUUGGUAACCAAACUGAUGGAGUUUGAAGGAAUUGGGAGUUUUCUGAAGAAAAUGGCUUCAUCAAGUAAGUAGUAGAUGCCGACGUACAAUUAACUUCGUGGAUUAGACUUCUCUAUUUUUUGGCAUAUUAUUAUUACAUUUGAUAUUUUAAAGAUUCACUUUUAGGUCUUAAAGCAUGCUGCUGUGGUUAUGCUUGGUGGUGGUACUGGCAUUAUGUCUAAGAAAACUUCAUGAAAUUAAAACGUUAUUUUGUAAAUGCAUUCUUGUAUUGUGAAAAACUAAAGAGGCCUUCUGAAAAUUUUUAAUCUAAAAUAUAUCAUAAAACUGGAUUAAUUCAGAGACAUCUAUCACUUCCAAAUUAUCCAAAAAAAUAAAAAUAAAAAAGGGAGUCAGCAAUUGCUGAAUAUUAGAAGGCCACAUACAACUUUUACAUUUUAUGAUUUCAGGGGUUCCUUAUAUGAAUUGCUUUUUUUUUUGCCUCCAAUAUCUGUUAAGGGAAUUUAAGUGAGGAAUAACAUCAUCCUUAAUAGUUCUAAAGAAGUUUUUUGCUUGAACGAGAUGUUACUUGAAGAUUGAUGGAUUCUACACAUUCCUCCCUCUCCUGAAUAUUGUAAGUGUAUUCACAACCUCUUCCAGAAAUCAGACAAUGGAAAGAACUUUUUUGGAUCUUUUACGUUUUUCCUCCCCUUGGGCUUUAGGGAGAAUGCUGAAUAUGUGUUUCUUUUAUUCUCUCGGCCUAUAGUUAUGAGAAUUAAUAAAUAUGAAUGCAGCGGUUAAUGCUAAAGAACAGAACAUUAAUACAAUGAGGGGGAAAGUACUUUGGGGAAGAAUUAGAUG